GGGUUGUGGCUCAGUGGUAGAGCACUUAACUAACAUGUGUGAGGCUCUGGGUUCGAUCCUCAGCCCCA
rnacentral:tRNA from 1 species